rnacentral:rRNA from 1 species
ACGGGUGCGUAACGCGUGGGAAUCUGCCCUUGGGUUCGGAAUAACAUCGGGAAACUGAUGCUAAUACCGGAUGAUGACGAAAGUCCAAAGAUUUAUCGCCCAGGGAUGAGCCCGCGUAGGAUUAGCUAGUUGGUGAGGUAAAGGCUCACCAAGGCUACGAUCCUUAGCUGGUCUGAGAGGAUGAUCAGCCACACUGGGACUGAGACACGGCCCAGACUCCUACGGGAGGCAGCAGUAGGGAAUAUUGGACAAUGGGGGCAACCCUGAUCCAGCAAUGCCGCGUGAGUGAUGAAGGCCUUAGGGUUGUAAAGCUCUUUUACCCGGGAUGAUAAUGACAGUACCGGGAGAAUAAGCCCCGGCUAACUCCGUGCCAGCAGCCGCGGUAAUACGGAGGGGGCUAGCGUUGUUCGGAAUUACUGGGCGUAAAGCGCACGUAGGCGGCGAUUUAAGUCAGAGGUGAAAGCCCGGGGCUCAACCCCGGAAUAGCCUUUGAGACUGGAUUGCUUGAAUCUUGGAGAGGCGGGUGGAAUUCCGAGUGUAGAGGUGAAAUUCGUAGA